UACGUAGGGUGCGAGCGUUGUCCGGAAUUAUUGGGCGUAAAGGGCUUGUAGGUGGUUCUAUAAGUUAGAUGUGAAAACCCUGGGCUUAACCUGGGACGUGCAUUUAAUACUGUAGAACUAGAGUAUGGUAGAGGAGUAGGGAAUUCCCGGUGUAGCGGUGAAAUGCGCAGAUAUCGGGAAGAACACCCGUGGCUAAGGCGGCUCUCUAGUACGGUACUGACGCUGAGACGCGAAAGCGUGGGGAGCGAACAGG
rnacentral:rRNA from 1 species